rnacentral:rRNA from 1 species
CUAAGGCUCCAGAGGAAGCCACGGCUAACUCUGUGCCAGCAGCCGCGGUAAUACAGAGGCGGCAAGCGUUGUUCGGAAUUAUUGGGCGUAAAGAGCACGUAGGCGGCCUUGCAAGUCAGUUGUGAAAGCCUUCCGCUUAACGGAAGAAUGCCAGCUGAUACUACAGGGCUUGAGUACGGGAGGGGAGAGUGGAACUUCUGGUGGAGCGGUGAAAUGCGUAGAUAUCAGAAGGAACGCCGGCGGCGAAAGCGACUCUCUGGCCCGAAACUGACGCUGAGUGUGCGAAAGCUAGGGGAGCAAACGGGAUUAGAUACCCCGGUAGUCCUGGCCGUAAA